UUCCUCGGAGAGCGGAGGAGGAGGAGGGGGAAAUCUCCGGGUUUUUAAUGAGGGGGUGCAGCAGGGCUGAGCGCCGGGAUUACACGGCGCGGAGACGGAGCUGCGGGCUGUGCGUGCGCGCAGCGCUGGUAGUCUCCGCCCGUCUGCCUGCUAAUCGCACGUUUUCCGCUGUUAAAAAGAAACCGAGACGCUGUGGCCGAGCCCGGCGCUGUCUCUGCGACUGUGACAUGAAAAGAUGGCGCUCUCUCCCCUCCCCCAGCCUCCCUCUCGGCUUACACUUCCUCCCCGGCAGCUUUUGCCUCCCGUUUUUUAAAGCCCUCUUUUCUCCUCUCCUUCCCCCCGUCUCCCCCGGCCGGAUACCGCGAGCUUCCCCGCCGAUCGGCAGAGACGCCGCGAUUACGUGAUCUCGCUGAACCUGUCUGUUGUGCUUUCUGGAGAAGCAAGGAAACCGGACACCUUUAGCAAUGACUUCUGGAGCCAUUCUCCUGACGCUCGCUCUAUUUAUCGCCAUCUAACCCGAGAUAGCCCGCGAGUGCCUGACCAGGGAUGUUCGUGUGGCCAGCCGCGUCCUGCAGAAUUACCCUGCCUCACCGCGAAGGACCGGGCACGUGUGGCCUCCUCAAACUUGUCCUUUCUGCAGCGCGCAGUUCAUCUAUUCGUUAUCAAGGGACAGUGUGUGGAGUGACUGAGCCUAAUAAGUUGUCCACUUGUUCAUUUCGGGAGCAUUGAUUUCUGGUUCCAAGGCACUCUGUUCUAGCACUGGCUACAGCUGCGGGGCAUUUCGCAGCUGGUCUUUCACCUAGACAAAUAUCAGCGAGAAUGUGAGCGUUAUUAGCCACAUAAAUAAAUCAUUAACGUGCACACAAA